rnacentral:tRNA from 2 species
CGCGGGGUGGAGCAGUCCGGUAGCUCGUUGGGCUCAUAACCCAAAGGUCAUAGGUUCAAAUCCUAUCCCCGCAACCA